rnacentral:rRNA from 1 species
UACGGGGGGGGCAAGCGUUGUUCGGAAUUACUGGGCGUAAAGGGCUCGUAGGCGGCCAACUAAGUCGGACGUGAAAUCCCUCGGCUUAACCGGGGAACUGCAUCCGAUACUGGAAGGCUUGAGUUUGGGAGAGGGAUGCGGAAUUCCAGGUGUAGCGGUGAAAUGCGUAGAUAUCAGGAGGAACACCGAUUGCGAAGGCAGCUCGCUGGAACGUUACUGACGCUGAGACGCGAAAGCGUGGGGAGCAAACAGG